rnacentral:rRNA from 1 species
UACAGAGGGUGCAAGCGUUUAAUCGGAAUUACUGGGCGUAAAAGCGUGCGUAGACGGUUACAUAAGUCGGGUGUGAAAGCCCGGGCUCAACCUGGGAAUUGCAUUCGAGACUGCGUACGCUAGGGUGCGGAAGAGGGAAGCGGAAUUUCCGGUGUAGCGGUGAAAUGCGUAGAUAUCGGAAGGAACACCAGUGGCGGAAAGCGGCUUCCGUGGUCCAGCACCGACGUCAGGCACGAAAGCGUGGGGGAGCAAACAGG